rnacentral:SRP_RNA from 1 species
UUUGCUAGAUGGGGGGAGUUAGAGCAUGGAAGACAGGUAAUCAGAUGCGAUCAACAAUGUCAGGGACAGAGGAAGGAUGCAGAACGAAGUGCCUCAUGUGCCAAGAAA